UUAGAGAUCUGGAUGCAAGUGAUUUUGAAUGCAUGACGAUUGUUCAUACCUUAACACUUGGGUUGGUUGCAGCUUUCUUCAAAGGGUUAUGGAAGAUGGGCAAAAAAACACUUGAGAGCCCAGAUUUUCAUCUGGGAGGCUAGCCUCUCCACGGAUCAUUUCACCAAGAGCUACUUCUCCCCAGGACUAUUCUCAUAGCGCUGUUUCUCCAAGGACUGGCUGCUUCUCUACGAGUUUCCUCACCGCCGGCUGCUUCUCUAAGAGUUACCACUCCACAAGCUGCUUCUUCUAGGUCAAACCGGCACUGCAAGGAAGUGAACUACGUCCAUAGACCAGAACCAACUUUACAAGUGCUUCGUGAUGUCUCAGCUACGAGGAUCCAAGCAGCUUUAGGGAGGAGUUAUAUGGCAAGCAGGAGUUUCAGAUCUUUGAGGGGUUUGGUUUAGUGAGGCUUCAAGGAGUGGUGAGAGGCAAUAAUGUAAAGAAGCAGACAGUGAACGCCAUGAAACAAAUGCAGCUUUUUAAUUUGGUUAGGGUUCAAAUGCAAAUUCAGUCUUGAAGGAUCCAAAUGUUCGAAAACCAGGCACUCCAGUCCGAAGCUUUAAAGAAAGAAUGACAAGGAUGAUGAGAGCACCCUGAGCAAAUGGACCCAACUGGGGUGUGAGAGGUGUCAAACUGAGGAUUUCCUCUUUUACAAAAUUGACAUUUUCUUGGCCCCAACAAAGGUUUCGUUUGGUUAGACUGAGGCAGGUAACCGCGAAAAUUGGGAUGAUAGCAAGCAGGAGAUGGAGUGAGUGUGGAUUCAACUGUCUCUAUGUUGGGAGGCAACCAUUUAACACAUUUGUGUGAUUGGAUUUCUUUUCCUUGUUUUGUGUAAUUCUUCUUUGUUAACAUCUGUAUUAGCCAUUUUGACGUUGCUUUGUGUCUUUUCAUGUAUACAUACCUGAGUGUGUAUUUAUUUGGUGAUA